AUUGAACGCUGGCGGCAGGCCUAAAACAUGCAAGUCGAACGAGUGGCGGACGGGUGAGUAAUGUCUGGGAAAAUGCCCGAUGGAGGGGGAUAACUACUGGAAACGGUAGCUAAUACCGCAUACCAUCGGAUGUGCCCAGAUGGGAUUAGCUUGUAGGUGAGGUAACGGCUCACCUAGGCGACGAUCCCUAGCUGGUCUGAGAGGAUGACCAGCCAAACUGGAACUUAGCCACGGGGCAGACGCCUACGGGAGGCAGCAGUGGGGAAUAUUGCACAAGGGGCGCAAGCCUGAGGCAGCCAUGCCGCGUGUAGUAAGAAGGCCUUCGGGUUGUAAAGUACUUUCAGCGGGGAGGCGUUACCCGCAGCAGACGCACCGGCUAACUCCGUGCCAGCAGCCGCGGUUAUAC
rnacentral:rRNA from 1 species